rnacentral:rRNA from 1 species
UACAGAGGGGGCAAGCGUUGUUCGGAAUUACUGGGCGUAAAGGGCGCGUAGGCGGCCCGCUAAGUCGAACGUGAAAUCCCCGAGCUCAACUCGGGAACUGCGUCCGAUACUGGCGGGCUUGAAUCCGGGAGAGGGAUGCGGAAUUCCAGGUGUAGCGGUGAAAUGCGUAGAUAUCUGGAGGAACACCGGUGGCGAAGGCGGCAUCCUGGACCGGCAUUGACGCUGAGGCGCGAAAGCCAGGGGAGGGAACGGG